rnacentral:lncRNA from 11 species
GUGAAAUAUGUGCAUCCCUCCUUCUACAUGAGUUUCAUUGAGCUGUUGUCUGUCAAAUGGAAAUGCAAUCUGCUGUAUGUUUGCUUGUAACUGGCCAUACAAUCCUAAUUAUACUUCUCUUCCAGAUAACCAUUACUGUGUCCAGUCAAAUGGGGAGUCUUGGUAUUAGCAUUGCUGGUGGAAAGGGCUCAUCUUCAUGUAAAGAAAAUGAUGAGGGGAUUUUAAUAGCUCAUGUCUCCAAAGAUGUCCCAGUUGAAAUGGAGGAGGAACAAUCUGAAGACAAAGUAUUAGAGGAUGCCACUUUUUCUGAACCCAGCACACCUGAUUCUGGUCCUGCAGAGCUACCAUCUAAAAGUGGUCCAUUUCAAACAAUAAACCAUGUUAUAACAAUACCUCGCAUCAUCCUAACACGCCCUUCAACUUCAGAUGAAGAUACUGACCAGUUACCACAAGACCCGGAUGAUUUUGAGCCAGAGGAAACAGAGAAUACUGAAGGCCACCUCUAUUCAGACUGUUUAAACAAUGCUUUUUAUCCUCCUUAAUAAAAUGUUCUUUUUAGGAAAAACAACAACAACUA